AUGCAACGGGGUAAGCGCUGCAGUGUAGCACCGCCGGCACCGUCGACAACAGGAAUGAAGCUUCACCGGCGAGCCGGAGCUGUGAUGCGGUGGGCAGUGCUUCAAUGGAGCUUCAGCGGCGGCUACAAUGGAGCUCCACCGGCGGCCCUGAGUCGCGAUGGAGUGGUGUUGAAGUUGCAGUGUAGCAUCACCGGCGCCGUCGACGACAGCGAUGAAGCUUCAUCGGGGCUGCAGUGUAGCUUCAUCUUCGGCAGUGGGAAGGGGGUGCGGCUCCUGCCGCUGAGCAUGCAGUGCUGCGUCCAUGUGGCGACGCGGUUGGUGGUCGCGUUGACCUGA
rnacentral:rRNA from 1 species